UCGUGAGGUAGGGGUGAAAGUAGCAUGGAUAAUAUCUAUCCGAUCCAUUUUCGUAUCUGAAUUAAUUCAGAUAUUAAUAGAAAUUUGAGGAUCCAAUUAAUAUUCGUAUCUGUAUCCAUAUUCGUUAAAAAAAAUAGAUAUAAAUAUAGAUAGACAAUUAUCUGAUCCGUAUCCGAAUAUCCGAAUCUAUCUAUAACUCUAUAUUAUUUUAUAUAGUAUUU
rnacentral:lncRNA from 1 species